rnacentral:tRNA from 1 species
GCUCGGAUGAACCUCGGUGGUCCGGGGUACAGGCUUCAAACCUGCAGCCGUGUAACAGCGGAGUGGUUCGAUUCCACCUUCCGGGU